ACCAUCGGGAAGCACAGAUAUUUACAUGACGGUCCAUAACAGGAGCAACAUCACAGUUAUGAAGAAGCAACGAAAAUAAUACUAUGGUUGGGAGUCACCACGACAUGAGGAGCUGUAUUAAAAGGCAGCGGCAUUAGGGAGGUUGAGAACCACGGCCUUAGCGGGAAG